rnacentral:pre_miRNA from 1 species
UUAGCUUAAAUUUGUAUGGAGCUGGAACUUUUGUCUACGUUUGCCGCUAGGGGUGCUGUUCCUAUUGCAUACAAGUUUGAGUUA